rnacentral:rRNA from 1 species
AAAUUGAAGAGUUUGAUCAUGGCUCAGAUUGAACGCUGGCGGCAGGCCUAACACAUGCAAGUCGAACGGUAACAGGAAGAAGCUUGCUUCUUUGCUGACGAGUGGCGGACGGGUGAGUAAUGUCUGGGAAACUGCCUGAUGGAGGGGGAUAACUACUGGAAACGGUAGCUAAUACCGCAUAAUGUCGCAAGACCAAAGAGGGGGAC